UCUACAUUUUUGAAAGACAAGAAUUAAGUUUGAUUGAGAAAGAUGUUUUUAAAACUUUGAAACUCAUAAUUGCUCUGUUUUUGCUGUUGUUAGUGGCAUAAGAAGGGACUGGCUGUGUUAUUCUGCAUAUUGCAGUUCUUGUCAAUGACCUGGUAAGUCUUUCCUUACCCUAGUGAAGUGUUAAAAUUGCCUGAGACGUGACGAGCAUUUUGUUUGGGACCUGUGAAGCCCUAGCAUUUCGUCUGGUGUUUUGGAGCCAGACAGGCCCUGCAGGGUCAGAGGAGGGGAGGUCUGCGAUGAGUCCUGUUGCACUUGACAGCGUGGCUCAGUGGUACUGUUCGGGAGAAGUAUGGGGUGCUGUGCUCGUAGAGUUACAUAGUGAUAUGUUCUGCUUUUUUCUAAUGUGAGAAAGAGAAAUAAUAAGAAAAGUAGGUGAUGCCAUGUGAGUACAUAAAAGUGAGACCAAAUCACAGGGUGAGUCCAAGGGAAGAUGAGUUUACCUGCAUUCUCCACUCUAUUGCUGGAUAAAUACAACGUGGAAUUUAUCCUGAUGUUGACUCUGUGGCCCUGUGAUAUCUGGAGAUGUCUUCUGAAUUGGCAGUGAUUAAAUACUUCUUAAGUUACUGGUUGAGCAUCCCAAAUCCAAAAUGCUUCAGGAUCCAAAACUUUUUUUUUUUUUUUUUGAGGCAGAGUCUCACUCUGUCACCCAGGCUGGAGUGCAGUGGCAUUAUCUUGGCUCACUGCAACCUCUGCCUCCCGGGUUCAAGUGAUUCUCGUGCCUCAGCCUUCCAAGUAGCUGGGAUUACAAAUGUGAGGCACCAUGCCCAGCCCCAAAUCCAAAACUUCUUGAACGCUGACAUGAUGCUCAGAUUUGGUUGAUACUCAACCAGUAAAUGUAAUGCAGAUAUUCCAAAAAUCCAGAAAAAUCCAGUAUCCAACACAUUUCUAGUUCCUAUCAUUUCAGAUCAGAGGUGCUUCACCUGCACUGCCUUUCCCAGUCCACUUUUGUGAAGAUUCAGUCAUGUCCUGGUUUCUGCUCAGACUGUCCUCCUUGUAGCCUUUUUGUGUCUCGCACAGUAAGAGUUCAUCUGCAUAAAGGCCAUAAAUAUCUGGGUGGUUGAUUAAACGUGCCCUGCAGCUCCUGCGCUCUUCUGUGUUAGUGAAGAGUACUUUUCCUUUUCCUUUAGAGCAGCUCUUGCUUCCUAAUUUUUGCUUCCUGGUUUUGCCAUUUUACAUUCCUCUUACUCGACAUUACCCAGUUUGGGAUCACCUUUCUUUCGGCCUUCUUUCUACUGACAGAUGAAACAUCAGUGAAUGUUAAAUGUAAUUCUCUGUAUAUCUCAAAUUCACCAUAAAAUGUUCUUUACUUUUUUUCACUGAUAUGUGAAGAAACUUAAUCUCUUGGUUAUUUUCUCUAGUAUUUUGCCUUUUAUUGCCUAAUUUGUAACUAAUAAUUGAUUUAUCCCUAAAGGAGACUAUAAUUAUCAGUUGUGGUACAGUUUCUAUUUUAUUAUAAGAAGCUCAAACUUUAGCAUGCACCAGAAUCACCUAGAGAGUUUGUUUAAAGUGCAGGUUGCUUGUUAAAGCAAGCUUGUGAUUUAGGAGGUUUAAGGUAGGACCUAAUAAUUUACAUUUUUAACAAGUUCCCAGAUGAUGCUCUCACUGCUGGUCGGGGUCACACUUUGAGAACCACUGUACAGUCUCAUGCUGCUGUAUUUAUUAUAAGGUUAGACAUGGCCUUUUGGCAUAAAGGAAAACCAUCAUUCAGAUGAAGAUUCAACAUGCUUGAAUAUUUCUUGCAGGUAUAGCCUGUCGUACAUCCCAUAUGCAAGGGAUGCAGUUAUUAAAUGCUGUUCUUCUCUCCUAAGUUGAAAAUCAGAAACUUGUGGAAAAGAGCACUUGAAUGUUGGUACUCUAUGUUUGGUGAAGUUUGCUUUUCCCCAUAAAACACUCCAGGAACAACUGACGUGACAGUUGAAGACCGUUUUGUACUAAGUCUCAUUUUGUAUACUGGUAAAAACUACAUGCUUGAUUAAACCAUUAAAUGCUUGUAACUUUAAA
rnacentral:lncRNA from 10 species